CAAAUACUCCCUCCGUCCGGAAAUACUUGUCAUCAAAAUGGAUAAAAGGAAAUGUAUCUAGACGUAUUUUAGUUUUAGAUACAUCUCUUUUUAUUAUUUUGAUGACAAGUAUUUUUGGACAGAGGGAGUAGAAA
rfam:Triticum aestivum genome assembly, contig: Triticum_aestivum_CS42_TGACv1_scaffold_331583_4BS